rnacentral:rRNA from 1 species
UACGUAGGGUGCAAGCGUUGUCCGGAAUUAUUGGGCGUAAAGAGCUCGUAGGCGGUCUGUCGCGUCGGCUGUGAAAACCUGGGGCUCAACUCCGGGCCUGCAGCCGAUACGGGCAGACUAGAAUUCGGUAGGGGAGACUGGAAUUCCUGGUGUAGCGGUGAAAUGCGCAGAUAUCAGGAGGAACACCGGUGGCGAAGGCGGGUCUCUGGGCCGAUACUGACGCUGAGACGCGAAAGCGUGGGGAGCGAACAGG